rnacentral:lncRNA from 1 species
GGCGUCUCCUCCGCAGCCCCCGCCCCGCCGCGCCGGUGCUGAAGCGCCUCGGCCGCUCCCCCGCAGCACCCCCGGGACAGCGGCGCCCCGUCGGCCCCGCAGCAGCACCCGGGCCUCCCUCCCCGCCGCCCGGCCCGGGCUCUCCUGCCGCGGCUCUGCUGCCGAGGCCGCCUUAUGGGGAAUAAAUAAAUUCAUAGCCCCGCUCACCCCCGCGGCAGCGAGAGAAGCCGGCGGCGGCCGCGGGAUUAGAUCCAGCCCGAGCUAGAGACCAGGUAACGUAACCUACCCGCCAGGAGGGAGGAGGAGGAGCAGCGAGGCCGCUGAGGUCGCCCCCAUCGGGGAGGGCUCCGGGGAACGGAGACGGGGCUGCCACAGCCGGGGCGCGCCGGCGUCCCCCCCACCCUCCAGCCCCGUUCGCUGCGGGCGUGAGCGCUGCUGCCCCCGCGCUGUGCGCGCCGCAGUAUCAGUCACACACACGCACACGCACACGAGCCGCCACCCACGCAGGGAUGGACGGACGGAUGGAUGGAUGAAUGGAUGGAUGGAUGGAUGGACGGACGGAUGGACGCCGCCCCUCGCGGGCGCUGCCCGCUGGUCCCGAAGCAGCCGCUGCGGGGAGGCGCCGCACGCCACGCUGUGCCCAUGCGGCCGCCGGGCGCUGACAGCGGGCGGGGAGGCGGGCGGCGGGGCCGAGCCGAGGCCGUAUCCCGGGGCGUUGCCGCACCUCCCGCUCCGCGCAGAGCGGGUCCGCUGCCACGGCCGCCCCCGCCCCGGGGCAGCUCCGCCGGGAGGCGUGGGCGGGAGGCGCGGCAGCGAGGCUGGAGCAGUGUGCCUGACUGGGCGUCACUUGGCGGCAGUGGCCCCGAGGGGAGCGGUGACGUCACACCGCUGUGCUCGGGGUGAUCUCGGGGAGGGGUCCGCGGGGACCCUGCGCUGUGGCUCUGCCUGGCGUGGGCCGGGCCGCUCCGAGCCCGGCAGCGCUAGUUCAUCAUCUCCAAACACCGCUGGCUUUGCUUAGAGGCUGUGCACCCAGCUCUCCCCGUGACUGGUACCAGAGCCGGGAGAACACUCCUCCAUCGUUAUUUUUAUAUGACCUCUGCUAGCACGCUGGGGACACAGCGUCCUUGAAGUCUCUCUUGUGUGGCGCAUUGAUAGCCUUGUCCUGAGAGAAAAGAGUUUCUCUGUGCCCACGCAGUUCUCUAUGCCCUGGCACUGUGGUUGUUAUAGUGAACCCUACAAGACACCGGAGGUGGGACAUAACCCUAACACAGACCUUUUCAUAUUCUGCAGACCAAAGUGUGCACUGGUGCUCCUGGGAGGGCCAGUGAUCUCUUCAUCCCAGAGGCACAUCGCACUCAUGCAGGCACACUGCUGCUGCUUUUCAAAUCAGAGGUGAACAAGAAAACUAAACAUAGAAAAAUAAUGUUUAGAGAGAGCACUUUUUUUUUUCUUUUCUUCUUCUUCUUUUUUUUUUUUUUUUUUUUUUUUCCAGAUGCCAGCCUGAACUUCUAAGCAAAGAAGAAAUCUUACUGAGAUUAUUCUUGCUUUUCCCCCAAAUGCCUUUCAGUAAACUGAGGGAUGUGGAUGCCUUGUGAAGGCAUCCAUUCCCGAUUCUGUGGUCUCUAUAAUAACCACUCGUGUCUCCAUAGUAACAUCCACCUGUGGCUCCAGUUACAUAUCAGAUAGCAAUGAAAGAGGUGCUUGCAGCUUCCCUUGCAGGAAUGGAGCCAUAAACUUAACUGCACACCAAUUGAGACAGUGAAAUAUUGCCUUGGCUCCCUCUAGAUGAACCAUGAUAUGAAAAUUGGUUCUUCAAGACAGAGGGGGGUAGACUGAUAUUUAAAGGAAACAGGAAACUGACAAGUAGUCCAAUAAAAGUGGUAGUGCUUUUAUUUAUACAUAUUAAAUUUGUGAAGAAUGCAUGAAUGAUUCCCUUCUUACUUUUAAAGACAGCAUUCUCCCCUUUUCUGCCAUGACUGCUGACUUUGGAUAUCAUGCUUGAGAAUGAGUGCUGAAUAUCUUCCACAUAAAAGGCAGACAAGAAAUUAUAUUUCAGAAGUUUCUAUAAUGUGUGCAAUUAAUUAUAGAACUAUAACUUCACAUAUCUGAAUAGCUCAGCUAACUUAGUUUGGAACACAGUCUUUCUAAUGUAAGUGACUUCAGAGCAAAAUAGAUCUUUGAGUAAGGCAAAUUAAGGCAAAUACUGGUAGCUGGAGAUUAUGGAUUUUUUUGUGUGUGUUUAUGUAUAUGAGUGAUUUCAGACAUGGGAUGGCCUAAGUCUCAAAUGGAGUCUCUGUGGGAAGUCUUGAUGGAUUGUAGAAAAUGAAUUUCCCACAUUUUGUGCAUAGUUGGUCAGAAGUGGUACUUUUCAUGUAAAUUGAUGAAGGAACAGUAGAUAUAAACUUUUGGGGAAGACUCUGAAAUAUUUCAAAGGGAAAUAUCAAAGCAGUUUUGAAGGAGAUUUCUUACUUAUGGGCAUGGAAGUUAAGACAGAGAGAAGAGCAGUCUUAGAAUCACAAGCUGAUUUGUUUAAGAAAUGUUAUUCUUUCAUUACUUUUCUUCCUUGGAUUUUGUUCACUAUUUUCUACAUUUUUAUUAUUUCUUCGUGCAUGUAUACUUAUUUUUCUGGUACCCAUUGGUUUUCUGUUCCUUCAUUUUAGGAAAACAAAUCCACUUUAUUAUCCCUUCUUUCUGGAGUAAUUUUUCUUGUCCUCUUUUUAUGACAAGCAUGUGGCUUUGCUUGCAGAAUCUCCUGGUUCUUGUUUGAAGAGGGAGAGUACAGCUCACCUGAUUUUUCUCCAAUUGCAACAUCACAGGAUACUUGUGAAGAGUUUAAUUUUUCUUGAGUAGAUUUCCACUUUAGCAAAGAUGGUGUCUGAACACAGUGCUGAAUUGAUUCUAUACGUAACUGUUUGCUAGAGUUAAUGCUGUCCAUUUUCUUACGUGAGAGUCAAGACAUGAAAAAUGGUCUUUGUCUAUGCUAAUUAUCUGUGCUGUUAAAUGAUUUUUUUUGUGUGUGUGUCAAGGUUGGUGUGAUUAUGAAAAUGUAAUUAUCUAUUGAUUUUUGUUUAAUAAAAUGUUAGGUCAUAUCCACUAAUAACUGAUUUUAAGUUCCUAUAUCUGUUCAGAUAAUAUAUAUAUGAUGUCCUAAUGUUUGCACAGCAUCAAGGAGAAUAUUUCAUAGGAAAAUAGGAUUUCAUUGGUCAACUGUUUUAUGUAUCAAGCAAAUGUGAGAAACAAGCUGUGUUCCACAUAUGCAUCCCAGACCAAAGCUGCAUUCUUUGGCAUGUAUUUGUUUGUGAGCCAUUACUUCCGUAAUUUUAUUGUGAACCUUGGAACAUUCAAGCAAAAGUAGUUGGUAUGUGGGAGUAAGGGUAUGAUAUUCUGUGACUUGAGUAAUACAGGAUGUUGGGCUAACUGGGAAGCACUGCUUAGCCUUACAUUCUAUCAUGUAUUUCCAAUAUUUCUUAUAGUUGUUGUUCUUAUAGUUAAACAAUCAAAACAAGAUUUUACUGAAGAAGAAAUUCACAGCUCACAGAUUAUGGUGUCUGGCAGAUUAGAAAGUUUGUUUGUUUUUUCCCCUUGCAAUCUCUGGAGUUUUAAUUUAUAGUAUUCAUGUCUGGAGGAGAAGUGAUCAUAGAAUUGCAGGGGUUGGAAGUGACCUCAAAAGAUCAUUGAGUCCAGCCCCCCUGCUAAAGCAGGUACCCUGCAAUAGGUCACACAGGUAGGCGCUCAGACAGGUCUUGAACAUCUCCAUAGAAAGAAACUCCACAACCUCUCUGGGCAGCCUGUUCCAAUGCUCCAUCACCCUUGCUGUAAAGAGGUUCUUCCACAUGUUAGUAUGGAAUUUCCUAUCCUUGUCCUAUAGCUACACAGCACCAAGAAGAGCCUGGCCUUAUCCAUUUGCCUCACACCUCCCUUUAGAACAAUUCCUUGUCAUCAGCUCCUUUUAUUGAUUAUAGUUUUGAAUUUAGUUAAUAAAGUUAUGUUAGGUGGCUCCUUUAUUUGUUAUCAUCAAGUUCAAGCCACCAAUUACCUCCUAUAGUAUUUUUUUUAUUUUCAGGGCAUGGUGCUUUCCUGUCUCAUGACACUUGCUGUAAUAUGUAAUAAGAUGUGUGUAUGAAAAGCAAUUGCUGAAAAAGUGAAUAAGUAUUAUCAAAAGGAUAUUGACAUAACUAGGGCAGUUGAAAAAAAUCCCAAUAGAGAAAGAGGAAAAAUAGUGGGGAAAAAAUGUGACUUUACUUUGACACUUCCCAUUAUAUGCUUUUUCCCUGGGUGGCUUAAGAAAUAGAAUUGAUUUUAAUUCACAAAAUCAGGAAGUACUGGAGAACAAGUUUAAUUUUGAAGUGAUUCUUUUUUAAAAUUUAGCUGUUGAUACAUUUUGUUUUGACUUGGUGUCCUGAUUAUUCAGUGUGAAGUACUGAACCAGCAAGAAAGUGGUGUUCUAAGUAAUAAUGGAAAUCAUGAUGGAUUUGGCAUUCUUUUCUUAUUGUUACUGUAAGAGAUAAUGAAAAUGUAUGAUUUUAACAAUUCACAUGUAAACCUCUGCAGACUAGACUUGUCCAAACACAUGGAGGACACAUUUGCCCCUCAACAGAAUACUUUCCAGUUGCUUAGACAGGAAGUUUGGUAGUUAUUUCACUUCUAGGUCAUUUUCAGGUUUUUCUGUGGAUCAGGUUUUCCUGUUGAGGACUCAGCUGUAGGUGGUGAUCAAGGUGAUGAUCAAUGUGGGAACAUUCAGAAAGCAUAUGCUACACAGAAAACUGUUCAGACCCUGUCCUAUAUAUGAAUGGCUUUUGUUAUCUUCAUAUUUUUCAGAAGUUCUUUAGAUUAGCUUAUCUUCCCUCAGCUAUUAGAAGGCUCCUGCUUUUCCUUCGGGCAUGUUGCUCUCAUCAGAUGACCUCUGUGGUAGCAAACUGUUGGCAGCACUCCCAAUUUUGUCACACAGGGAUAAUGAAUAUAAAACAAAGACUUGUAAUUGUGUUCAAAGUGUAUUCAACAUCAAAGAAUUUUUACCAUUUGCAGUCACUACAGCGAUGGUAGUGAUAGUACAAUGAUGAAUGUUGCCUUUUGCAUGAGGUGCACGCAACAGACUUUAGUAAAAUCAGUCCCAAAGCAGUGCUACAUAAUUCCUAAGUAUAUAAGUGAUCUUAUUUUCGAAGAAAUAUACACUUUAAUGUACAUUUUAGCAUCCAUUGUCAACAACAUGCUUGCAAGAAGUCGUUUAGACACACUUGCGGUCUAUGGUACAAGCAAAAAUGAGACAGUAAAAGAUAAAAUUUCAAAUUGUUUCUGCAUCAACUUCAGGCUUAUACUUCUCAGUGCUUGUUUUCCAAGUCCAAGAAGUAUUGAAAACAAAUGUGUAUACUGCUAGAAAUGUACAGUACCAGAAGAAACAAGCUGAAAAGGAUUUACCAUUGCUGUGAAAAAAAGUAUACAUGCAAAAUGCAUAAUUGAUUAUUUUUUUAAACAAAAUCAGUUCCUACUGUAAUUUAUUUGAUUAGUAUUGCAGGUGGAAAAAAUGCAUAUGCUUUUUAAAUUAAUUGCAUUUGAUCUUCUUCUUUACACCAGAAAAGAAGUCUUUCAUGGCUUUUUUUUCAAUUAGCUGCAAUAAUUAUGUGCAUAUUUGGCAGUGAGGGUUAGAAUUUUUGACGUAACGUAGGACUAUGUUCAAACAUUCAGCUAUAACAGCUUUACUUAGACAUUGCUGCUUUUCUCUGCUGACUGCAUUGAGAGACAGAAAUUGAAAGCCUUAAAAUAAAGGUUAUCUAAAUGUUUUGUGGUACUACUGAAUUAAAAUGCCAUAAGAAUUGCAGAUACCUAAUUGGGUUCGUAUAGUUUGCACUCUUAAUAUGGCUGUUAGAACAAGUUUCAAACAGAAAGAAAAAAAGAAACCUUAAUGAUGCAAGUAAGCUGCUCCUGGGCAUGUAGGUGUCUGAUUUUUUAAAAAUUGGAAUUGUAUGUGUUAAAGUCCUUGAUGAUAUUUGAUAAGUAAGUUCUCCAUUGAAUAAUUCAUUUUCUAGACUGCUUUUGGAAGCUGUGCCACCAAGUUAGGAGAAAAUGUUGAUCUUGAGGGUAAGCAGGCCCUAUGAAGUGAUCUGGAUAGAUUGGAUCAAUGGGUGAGGGUGGUUAAAGGGUCAGGAAAAAGUGUCUGGAACAGAGACUCAAGCUAGCUGAGGAAGAGGUGUGCAUCAGGGAGAAGGUGGAGAGAACAGAGGAGGUGGAGAGAACACAACCUCUCCGACAGGAAAAUUGGUACGGUAAGCUGAAGAAAACAGUGGGCCUAUCAGCCAAUUACCAAAUACUUUUUAAGAUAUACUCUUUAUAACAAUCUGUACAUAGUAUUAAACUAAGGACUUCCUUUCUGUCCUGAGGAAUCUAUAAUAUCUUUGCUCAUUGUGUCACGCAGGGAUCCUAACUCCUCAUCUUCCAUUAUGCAGCCUCCCUUUCACUCUUUCCUACUGCUACUAAGGGUGAAUAAGGGGACUCAGUGGCCCAUGAAUAGAAGUCAUAGCACCGGGUUUUGGAUAAAAACUUGUAUAUUUUGAGAACUCUGGGUUGUAUAUUUGAGGAAAAUGAGAAAAGAGUAUGCCAUGAUAGCAUAUACUGACAAAGCAUGAAGCAUAUUUGAAUUUGUGAAGAAUAAGGGAAAAGGAGAUCCUUUGCUCUUGUUCUUCUGUAGAUAUAAUUAUGUUGUCUAGAGGCAUAAGAGCUUUAUUCUCGUGUUUUUCUGAUGUAGUUAUCCAAAAGGAGAUGUUUUGAUGUUGUUAUAUUGGAUAUGAGUGCUUUAUUUCAAUUUAGGUUAAUUCUUUAUUCAUACACAGUACCACUGCAGCACAGUGUCACAUAUGUCCUCUUUUGGUUUUAGCUAUAUUAUUACAGUGAAAGAGGAUUAUAAAUUAAGUUAGUGAAUGUAAGGUCCAAACUCACAUAAGGCUGAGAAACCAGGGAAGGACAUUAAAACAGACAUCUAAACACACUGUGGCAUUUUCUGUCAAACACGUUCAGAGAUGAACUCAUAGAAUAUGACAGUACUGUUAAUUGGCAUUUCCUGUUUCUGUGACUCCAGUUCUGUAUUUCAUCUCUGUACCCUAGUGCAAUUCCACUGGGUUGCUCUUUGUUUACAUACAUUAAGGGCUGAGUACACUCUUUUGAUUGCUUCCAAAGACUUCUGGAUCACUGGCUUUGACUUGCCUGAUUAAGUUUAAAUGAAAAUUAUUUCUCUUAAUCAUUAUCAAAAUGAUUUCUGUUUUGAAACAAAUACUUUCAUGUGUCCUUCUAUGUACUUUAUUUCCCCUCAGUUCUUUCUGUGGGAGCAUUUGCCACCUUUAUUAGAACAGGGGGAGAUAUCAAAGUAACUAUUCUGCUCUGCUCAUCUUACCAUUAUGCUGUAUUUUCCACGCUGAAACUGGAAACUGUUAUACAUCCUCACAUGUAAGAUAGCUUUUAUAUGGAGUAGAUGAUGCUCCUUCAUAAUAACCAGUAUGUAUGUUACUUUAGACUUGCAAGUGUUUACUUUCUUUACCCUUAGUGUGUUUUAUUUAUUUAUUUAUUUAUUAUUUCUGCUUUUCAGAUCUCAUGGGUAGAGGAAAAUAUGUAGCCUUAGAAGAAUGACAAAUUGAAGAGGCGAAAACAGAGUAGAAGUGCAAGAGAUGUUAUUAUUUUGAGGAAUUUCACAAAGGCUAAUACCUUCAAGCCAUCAGAGGCAGAAUGAUGGAUCAUAUUUUCACAGUAGUUUUUAGUUGUCUUUAGAUUUUUAUUUAUUUAUUUAUUUACUUCUGAGAAAGUAGUAGAAAGAAUGUUGACUUUAGCUUUCAUUAUGUCCGUGUUCUAAUUGUAGGCCUUAACAUUUUUGUUGUUGAUGAAUUGUGUUAUCUGAUCACAAAAUGGCACACUUGUAUAACAGAUCUUCUUCCAAACAUGAUGCUAGCAAAAGAAUAAAUGCCAAAUAUGUUAUGAGGAACACUUACCAUCAAACAAUACAAUUCUCAAACCUUAGUACUACAAUCUAGAAAAUAAAAAUUAGGCGUUGAAUCUUAUAGUCAUUGUUUAGCCUGUGGUUGAGAGUUCCAGAAUUAGUUUGCAAAAAGACAUGUUCAGAACCAUUUAACUUAACAUUACACUUAGCGCUUUAAUCUAUUGAAGAUUAUACCUUUUGGAUUUCCUUGAGUUAAGAUAGUCUGUGACCUCAAGAGAGAGAGACAUGGACUGCAGUACAGAUUUGUUCCAUAAGUUGCUCCCCACUUACUGACUGUACAGCACUGUGAACUCAUCCUACAGUGCUUAUUUGCAAAGUUCAUCUACACAUGCAUAGAUGACUCCCUCUCACUUGUACCAUUAAAAAGGCACUUCGACAUAAGAAAUGAAUAUGUUGUGUGUACAUUUCCAUGUCUGGUACUGUCCAAACGCAUAAGGAUGUGUUGAUUCACCUGAAGGUUUCCAACUUUGAAUUAUUUUUGUGAUUAAAAAAAAGAUAAAUUGUUUCCACCAUUCUGCUUAAUAGUAAAGCUGAUUGAUUUGAUUGCACUGACUGUUUUGAUUCCAUUGAUUGUUUUGAAUCCAUUGAGGAUGGAGUAUAUAUUUUCAGCCCUAAUAAGAUAGUUAAGGAUUUUUGUUUUCCUUUUGUUUUGUCUUUUUUUUUUCUUUUUUUCUUCUAUUUACCAGCUUUAUCUCAGGUGUAGAUUUUUUUUUUUUUUUUAAAUAUGCAGCACUGUCAAAUAAUCUAAAUUAGGAUCCUUAAUUUCAGUAUUACUGGGUCCUCGAUAAGGAGGUUGUUAUCUCUUAAUAACUGGAGCUUAAAUCGUACUUCUCAAUCAAUCCUCUCAUCUAACCAACACUCUUACAGGAUAAAAUCAGAAAUUGCAACUUUAGUCUGAACAGCCCAGCUUAAAAGUGCGUUAAACAGCAGAUACAGAGGUUUUAUAAGCAGAAAAUCUCAAAUCCUGAUGUAGUCUCAAAGAAGCACCUUCUUGUUUUUCAUAACGGCAACUGAAUGUAUGUAAGUGAGGAUAUGAUAGUUUUCUAAUAGAAAUAAUGUUAUGCAUAUAUACAAAUAGCUGUUGCUAGGAAAAAAAAAUAGGAAGAAAUAUGCAACAUACUGCAUACUAGGAAAUGAAUGAGCAAAAUAGGAAAGCACUGAAAAAAUGUACGAGUGCAGUUGUUUGAAGUUUCAGGAUGUCCAGGUGUUUCAAUAAAGUGUAGAACCUAUACGGAUCCACUGCAAGUGUCAAAUAUACAGAGGAAAGUGUUUUGCAUAAGAUCUUUUUGACUACUUUGGGACAUUUCUAUGACCAGGCUACUGGUAUAAGUGUAUACUUAUGGAUAGAAUGGAUAGAUGAUUAGAAAGGGAAGACUAUUUCUUGCAAGAACACUGUGAAACAUGGUAUGGGGCUGAAGGAGGGGAACUUGCACACUGGCAGUACCAGAGAGUGAGGAGGUGUAGGUUCUGGACCCAGUAAGAAUGCAAAAGGAUUGAAUGCUGUAAGAUGUUUUACUGCCAUUACUUUGUCUUAGCCCAUGAACUGCCAGAACAGAACAGAUAAUCUUUCAGACAGGAUUUAGCAGUAAAUUUAGCCCCCUAUAGACUGAAGAACUUCAGUAAUGAAGGAAAUUUUUAUUCAUCCUACCAAAGCAGAACAGAUUCUGUUUUUCAGUGCAAAGUGGCUAGUGUUACUUCAUGGUGUUCUCACUGCUCCGAAGGGGAGGUUGAACUGUUUGUCCGGUCCCUGCUGGGUUCAUUAACUUUAUGUGCUUGUUUCUGUUACCCCAGUUGAGAAGGAAAUGGUUUGCAUUUAUGUUACUAAAAGGCUGGACCUGAUUUAUUUAACCAAACCCCACAGAGCACAGAACCUUUUGUAUUUGGUCAAACUCGUGCUCCCAAAGUCAUUUUCAUCUGCCCCUGUGACCUUGCCAGAGGGAAUCGUUGUUUAUUUCUUCACUUGGUAGACAAGUUUAUCUGAGUCCUGCUGAGGAGAGAUGGGCUACCUACUUUCUGCUGCAGAAGGGAAUCAAGGGGAAC